CUAUUGUCACAACCUAAUUCCCAGGCCAUGACCGGCGCAAGGGCCCAAUGGACUCAGCCCACUAAGCCUAGGCAAGCCUAUUUAUAUAAUCUUAUACAUUACUCCAUAUUUUUUUUAAACUCUAAAAUUCAUAAUGUUCAAAUAUAGUUCCUUUGAAAACAAUUCAUACAACCCAAUUAUGCAUUCAGAAUGGCAUCAUCAUCCAUAAUAUACAUAUAUAGCUUGACAAAUGAAUCUUAGCAUUUCACAACAAGUAUUCAUAUACACAUAAUUAGACCUUGACCGUCAGUAGAGUGACUCUAGGCAUGGUUGCUAACGUUUAGUGUCAUGUUAAACCUACCGAGCAAUGGGUAGGGAGAAGCACCUCGUCCUAGGAUCCAAUCACCUUUAACUCAGAAAACCUAAAACAUGAAGUUUAAAAACAUGAGUAUAAACUCAGUGAGUGAACAUAGGCAGGGAACAAGCAACGAUAAAGGAAGUUUAGAAAUCAUGAUGCACUUAAGUUCAAAAACAAAGCAAUUUAGUUUAAUUCUUGUUAAAAACCCCUCAUUCAAACCUUUGGUGGUUUAAUCUCUAGAUGAUGAAGGAUCUAUGAACAACAACAAGUUAAAGAGUGAAAACUUUAGUAUAAUUCAAACAAGUCAAGCAUAAUAGAUUGAUUUUCGUUGCAGCGAAAAGGCAUUCUCGCUGCAGCGAAAUUAUAGCCAGAUAAAAUCUAUUGGGUUUUCACUGCCACAAGGAAGAUCCACUCAUGCCACAUUGUACAUUAAAUUGAACAUAUUGACAAUAAUUAAGUUUUCUCAAUAUUCAAUGCAAUCACACAUUAUUUCAUACCUUUUUCUAUAGCAUAUAAAAACAUAUCUGUAGCAUAUAUAUAUAUACAAGCAUGUAUACAACCACCACCUCACCCAGUUCAUGUGCACUCCUUACUCGUACAUAUCAACAUCAUCGUGUGCACUCCCUACUCGCACACAUCAACAUCAUUGUGUGCACUCCCUACUCGCACACAUCAACAUCACUAUCCACACUUCCGCACCCCGUCAUCACCAGCAUGUGCAUCCCCCACAUCGUGCACACGCACGGUUAUAUUUAUUACACAAUAUUAACUAUCAAUACGCAACAUAUAUAUUUAUAUCAACAUCAUAUAAGGCACAAGGAUUCAUCAUAUGGCACACUCACAACGUAAAACAUUUUAAUAAAGGCUUGUUCCCUUGCAUAAUCUUUAAGGAAAAAUCAAAUAAAAAUCAUUCACACGCUUCGUCCAAAUACUUAUACAUUUCUCAAAAUAUUUUCAAUGCAAGUUCACUCACCUAACUAAACUAGCACUAACAAGGUCCUAAUCCAGGUAGUCCCGAAAUACCAUUAAAACCUAUAUUUAUCAAUAAACCAUAACAACCUCAAUUAAGUCAUCAAUUAAAUCUAAUAAUUCUAAUGAAUUUACAUUAGGCAAUCUACCCUCUAACCUGACAUUUAACCUAAGUUUCUAGUCUAAUUUACAAACCCAUUUGGCCAACUACUCUAAUUUAAAAUUUCAUUACCUAGAUGAGCUUGGAGGCAUGAAGAUCAACAAAAAACCUAAUCUUACCAAGAAAAAUAAUUUGAAGAAAUUAGGAAAUAAAUCUGAAAAAAUAACCAUAAAUUCCAAAAUUCCAAAAGUUGGAAAUAUAUACCUUUCAACCUUGAAAAUGAAGAUUUGAAGCAAAAAAUCCAAGUGUUGUUAAAAGUGAAGUAGAAAUAGAAAAUAAAAGAAAGAAAGAGAGAUUUUUCUUUAUCUCUCCUUGGGUUUGGAAGUGCUGGAAAUCGGGGUUAGAAGUUGUAACUUUGGUGCACAAGGAGUUGGGAGAAGGAAGAAGCAAAACAAGGAAAGAAAAUGAAAGAAAAUUAACUUUUCAUGGUGGAGAAUGAGAAAAUGGCAUGGGAUGGAGGAAAAAGAAGAAAAUCUAGUGGGAGAG
rnacentral:lncRNA from 1 species